rnacentral:rRNA from 1 species
UGGGUGAUCUGCCCUGCACUUCGAGAUAAGCCUGGGAAACUGGGUCUAAUACCGGAUAUACCUCAUUGAUCUCCUGGUUGGUGGGGGAAAGCUUUUGCGGUGUGGGAUGGGCCCGCGGCCUAUCAGCUUGUUGGUGAGGUUACGGCUCACCAAGGCGUCGACGGAUAGCCGGCCUGAGAGGGUGUCCCGGCCACACGUGGGACUGAGAUACCGGCCCAGACCUCCGUACGGGAGCAG